GCUGGAACUGCAAGGAAGGCAUUCUGUUUCAGUGACCUCUGUGCAGUGGUUCACCAGUUUCUGUCCUGGAAAAGAGCAGGAAGUGAGCCCCUGGGGAAGCCAGAUGCCAUGUCAUGAGGAUACUCAGGCAGUCUAUGGAGAAACCCAUGUGGAUGGCGAGGAACUGAAGCGUCUGGUCACCAGCCACAUAAGAGAGUUUAGAUGUGGAUCCUCCAGCCUCAGGCAAGCCUCAGAUGACUGUAGCCCCAGCUGACACUUUGACUACAGUCUUGUGAGACAUCCUCUAAUCAGAACCACCUGCUAAUAAGCUGCUCCUGAUUUCCUGACCCUCAGAAACGCCCCAGCUAUUCAGCCUCAUCUUCAUAGCACUCUCUGCCUUUGCCUCCUUUGUACAUGCGUAUGUUCCAUGGAAGGAAGCAGUGGGGACUGUGACAACCAUUAUAUUGUCAUACACCCAGCAAGGUGAAACAAACUCCUUUGUGAUCCCCAUGUUGAAAGACAAGACGAAUACUUGCUAUAAAUAAAGCUGAAUAAAGAUUCUUUUCUAGAUGGCUUCCAUUGUUCCCUGUUCCCAUACAGUAUUCACACAGAGAUAAUUUCCAGCUUCUCAGAUCUUCAAUAGUUAUAAAACAUACCAUUACCUCAUUUUCAUUUCAUUAAAUUUACAGGUCACAAGACAACUUUGAUCUUUACCAAGUUCAUCAUUAAUGGUUUCAAAAUAAUGGUUCUUUCCGUUUCAGCAUGAGCCCAAUACAGAACUUCCUCCUGGUGGAUUCUUUUAUCUCCUGCUUCCUACUUUUAACUCUGUCUGUCUAGACCACAGGGGCUGAUGUAGUUUUCCAAAUGCCAGUGUGUAUUUCACAUCCAUGAAGAGGUUCUCCACAUCUCCAUAGCAAAGGCAGUAAAAGAAGUCAUUUUUUCCCCAAACUAUCUGAUUGUGAUGGAUGGCCUGCAAAGGUCUGCCUGAGUCAUUUAUCUGAUAAACCAUUGGCGCCCCAAGGCU